rnacentral:miRNA from 1 species
AGGUCAGAUAUUCUGUCUUUCA